rnacentral:lncRNA from 1 species
CUUGCAUAAGUUGGUUUAUUAUGAGCAUCAGUAGAGCUCUGAAGCCUUGUCAACAGAAUUAGAUGUUCCUUUGUCCUGGCUUGUUCUGAGUAGUUGUGUGUUUCGAAGCUGUUGUUUCCAAAGGCAGUGCUCAUGUUCUGAGGCCCCUACACGCUUGUGAUCACCUGACAUGAGUAAUAAUUUGUACUUUUUCAGGUUCCUUGAAGGCUCCCACAAGGCUGUUCCUUGGGGGAGCAGGCUGAUGUGGGAAUCGGAGAAAGAGACUAGAUCAAGCAGGAAUUCUUUCUCAAGAAUCGUCCUGGAAACACAGAGCUUGCCCCCAAGAAGUGGCAACCCUGAGAGACAUAAAUCAAGGAGCCCCUGCUCUGCAGAGCGCCCGAUCUGAGGUGUCCUGCAGACAGCUGAUUAAACCAGGAAGCAGCCAGUAAUCCACCCAAUGGCAGCAGAUUAUGUUCCCCACCGACUCAGGAAGCUGGAAUCUCCCCCUUGGUUUUUUUCACUGCCUUCAGUGCUGUUGAUCAUUUGGGGCAUCUGUCUGGCAGGUGAGUCCUCUCAACCUCAGCUAUCUUAUAAAUGGGCAGCAUGUCUGUGUGAAGGUAAAACAGCAGUCUCUGAGCUCGGAGGUGGGGACCACCUGGAGGUAACAGAGGAGUGAGGGUCUCGCAUGCUCUGUUGAAGAGGGGUAGCUUUCCUCUGCUAAUGAGAUGACUUGAGAUUAGCGUGAAGUGAGAGGGGGAGGAGGGUGGCCAGCCGUGUCGGUGCAGCGCUGUGGGAACUGAGAUGAUGGACUCUAUCAGUGCCAGCGCCAGUGCCGCUGCUAGAGGAAGGGCCAGCUGCUUGGCUGGUGGGAAGAGUAUUCAGGCUUUUGCCCACUCUUCUUUGUUGCUCACUUGAGUGGGCAUUUUGCAAAGGAUCGUUUCUUCUCAGGAAGGGAGGAAGGAAAAUAAAAACACAUCUCCAAGUAGAGGGGCAGAUCAUGGAGUUCAGGCACCCUUGUCCCCAGGUUACUGUAACAGCCACUUAUGGGGCUUGGCUGCUCUGGGUCUCAAGUCUCAUGUGACCCCAGCAGGCUUGUGGAACUAGCUCACAUGUUCUGGGUGUGAACAAAACUUGCUAGAGAGAAGGGAAUUUUUCAGUGAAAGAGGUGGAGAGGGAUCCCUGAGACGUUGGCCUUUGUCUAAUAGUUCUCUCAUUCAAUCCCAAGUGGCAGUUUUUAGCACAUGCCCUUGUGUAUUUCCAGACAUUGUCAUUUUCCUCCUUUCAUUCAAAAAAGAAAGCCAGAGGCAGUCAAACGACUGACUGUUUAACUAGUGGGUGACCAGUUCCUGCACCCAUGAGGACAUGAGGAGGCUCGAAUCAGGGGUGGAUUUUAUUAACAAAGACCCUCAUCCUGCUGUCUUCAGCCCAGUGCUGCCAAGGAGAUUUGGGGCCCUCUAAUUAGCUUGGACAUGCCACGGGGUGGGGUGGAGGGGUCACUGCAGGACUUCAGCUUCUGAGACUGUGGAAUGCUUUAACAGAGAACACCAACUAGUAGAGGGAAGGCCAAAAGUCAGUUGAAAGAAGAUUUUAUUCCACUGGAGGUUAAAUUUAAAUAAAAGAUGUUCAUCUUUUUAAAAAAACUGUGUCAUAGUUGAUUUACAAUGUUGUGUUAAUGGCUGCUGUGCAGCAAAGUGAUUCAGUUGUACAUGUAUAUUUUUAUAAUGCUCUUCUCCAUCAUGGUUUAUCAUAGAAUAUUUUUAAAAUUCUUUAUGUAUUUUUGACCAUGCCGGGUCUUUGCUGCCGUGCAGGGUUUUCCCUAGUUGCGGUGAGCAGGCGGCUGCUCUCUAGUCGUGGGGCAGAGCUUCUCCCUGCAGUGGCUUCUCCUGUUGUGGAACAUGGGCUCCAGGGCAUGGGGCUUCAGUAGUUGGG